rnacentral:rRNA from 1 species
GUGCUAAUACAUGCAAGUCGAACGCUUCUUUUCCCACCGGAGCUUGCUCCACCGGGAAAAGAGGAGUGGCGAACGGGUGAGUAACACGUGGGUAACCUGCCCAUCAGAAGGGGAUAACACUUGGAAACAGGUGCUAAUACCGUAUAACAAUCGAAACCGCAUGGUUUCGUUUUGAAAGGCGCUUUACGGUGCCGCUGAUGGAUGGACCCGCGGUGCAUUAGCUAGUUGGUGAGGUAACGGCUCACCAAGGCCACGAUGCAUAGCCGACCUGAGAGGGUGAUCGGCCACAUUGGGACUGAGACACGGCCCAAACUCCUACGGGAGGCAGCAGUAGGGAAUCUUCGGCAAUGGACGAAAGUCUGACCGAGCAACGCCGCGUGAGUGAAGAAGGUUUUCGGAUCGUAAAACUCUGUUGUUAGAGAAGAACAAGGGUGAGAGUAACUGUUCACCCCUUGACGGUAUCUAACCAGAAAGCCACGGCUAACUACGUGCCAGCAGCCGCGGUAAUACGUAGGUGGCAAGCGUUGUCCGGAUUUAUUGGGCGUAAAGCGAGCGCAGGCGGUUUCUUAAGUCUGAUGUGAAAGCCCCCGGCUCAACCGGGGAGGGUCAUUGGAAACUGGGAGACUUGAGUGCAGAAGAGGAGAGUGGAAUUCCAUGUGUAGCGGUGAAAUGCGUAGAUAUAUGGAGGAACACCAGUGGCGAAGGCGGCUCUCUGGUCUGUAACUGACGCUGAGGCUCGAAAGCGUGGGGAGCAAACAGGAUUAGAUACCCUGGUAGUCCACGCCGUAAACGAUGAGUGCUAAGUGUUGGAGGGUUUCCGCCCUUCAGUGCUGCAGCUAACGCAUUAAGCACUCCGCCUGGGGAGUACGACCGCAAGGUUGAAACUCAAAGGAAUUGACGGGGGCCCGCACAAGCGGUGGAGCAUGUGGUUUAAUUCGAAGCAACGCGAAGAACCUUACCAGGUCUUGACAUCCUUUGACCACUCUAGAGAUAGAGCUUCCCCUUCGGGGGCAAAGUGACAGGUGGUGCAUGGUUGUCGUCAGCUCGUGUCGUGAGAUGUUGGGUUAAGUCCCGCAACGAGCGCAACCCUUAUUGUUAGUUGCCAUCAUUUAGUUGGGCACUCUAGCAAGACUGCCGGUGACAAACCGGAGGAAGGUGGGGAUGACGUCAAAUCAUCAUGCCCCUUAUGACCUGGGCUACACACGUGCUACAAUGGGAAGUACAACGAGUCGCGAAGUCGCGAGGCUAAGCUAAUCUCUUAAAGCUUCUCUCAGUUCGGAUUGUAGGCUGCAACUCGCCUACAUGAAGCCGGAAUCGCUAGUAAUCGCGGAUCAGCACGCCGCGGUGAAUACGUUCCCGGGCCUUGUACACACCGCCCGUCACACCACGAGAGUUUGUAACACCCGAAGUCGGUGAGGUAACCUUUUGGAGCCAGCCGCCUAACGU